rnacentral:rRNA from 1 species
CAAGAGUUUUGAUCUGGCUCAGAACGAACGCUGGCGGCAUGCCUAACACAUGCAAGUCGAACGAGACCUUCGGGUCUAGUGGCGCACGGGUGCGUAACGCGUGGGAACCUGCCUUUAGGUUCGGAAUAACUCUCCGAAAGGGGUGCUAAUACCGAAUAAUGUCUUCGGACCAAAGAUUUAUCGCCUUUAGAUGGGCCCGCGUUGGAUUAGCUAGUUGGUGGGGUAAAGGCCUACCAAGGCGACGAUCCAUAGCUGGUCUGAGAGGAUGAUCAGCCACACUGGGACUGAGACACGGCCCAGACUCCUACGGGAGGCAGCAGUGGGGAAUAUUGGACAAUGGGCGAAAGCCUGAUCCAGCAAUGCCGCGUGAGUGAUGAAGGCCUUAGGGUUGUAAAGCUCUUUUACCCGGGAUGAUAAUGACAGUACCGGGAGAAUAAGCUCCGGCUAACUCCGGCAGCGUACCGG